rnacentral:rRNA from 1 species
CCUACGGGAGACAGCAGUGAGGAAUAUUGGUCAAUGGACGGGAGUCUGAACCAGCCAAGUCGCGUGAAGGAUGACUGCCCUAUGGGUUGUAAACUUCUUUUAUAUAGGGAUAAAAUGUUCCACGUGUGGGAUUUUGUAUGUACCAUAUGAAUAAGGAUCGGCUAACUCCGUGCCAGCAGCCGCGGUAAUACGGAGGAUCCGAGCGUUAUCCGGAUUUAUUGGGGUUAAAGGGUGCGUAGGUGGAUUGUUAAGUCAGUUGUGAAAGUUUGCGGCUCAACCGUAAAAUUGCAGUUGAAACUGGCAGUCUUGAGUCCAGGAGAGGUGUGCGGAAUUCGUGGUGUAGCGGUGAAAUGCUUAGAUAUCACGAAGAACUCCGAUUGCGAAGGCAGUUCACUGGACUGCAACUGACACUGAGGCUCGAAAGUGUGGGUAUCAAACAGGAUUAGAUACCCCUGUAGUC